rnacentral:rRNA from 1 species
AUGCACGCUGGCGGCGUGCCUAAUCCCUGCAAGUCGCGCGAACAGACGAGGAGCUUGCUCCUCUGACGUUAGCGGCGGACGGGUGAGUAACACGUGGAUAACCUACCUAUAAGACUGGGAUAACUUCGGGAAACCGGAGCUAAUACCGGAUAAUAUAUUGAACCGCAUGGUUCAAUAGUGAAAGACGGUUUUGCUGUCACUUAUAGAUGGAUCCGCGCCGCAUUAGCUAGUUGGUAUGGUAACGGCUUACCAAGGCAACGAUGCGUAGCCGACCUGAGAGGGUGAUCGGCCACACUGGAACUGAGACACGGUCCAGACUCCUACGGGAGGCAGCAGUAGGGAAUCUUCCGCAAUGGGCGAAAGCCUGACGGAGCAACGCCGCGUGAGUGAUGAAGGUCUUCGGAUCGUAAAACUCUGUUAUUAGGGAAGAACAAAUGUGUAAGUAACUAUGCACGUCUUGACGGUACCUAAUCAGAAAGCCACGGCUAACUACGUG